GUGCCCAUAGCUCAGUUGGAUAGAGCGACGGACUUCUAAUCCGUAGGUCGCAGGUUCGAAUCCUGCUGGGCACA
rnacentral:tRNA from 1 species